GACGAACGCUGGCGGCGUGCUUAACACAUGCAAGUCGAACGAUGAACUUGGAGCUUGCUCUGGGGGAUUAGUGGCGAACGGGUGAGUAACACGUGAGUAACCUGCCCUGGACUCUGGGAUACCUUCGAGAAAUCGGAGCUAAUACCGGAUAGGACCUUGCACCGCUUGGUGUGGGGUGGAAAGUUUUUCGGUUUGGGAUGGACUCGCGGCCUAUCAGCUGGUUGGUGAGGUAAUGGCUCACCAAGGCGGCGACGGGUAGCCGGCCUGAGAGGGUGACCGGCCACACUGGGACUGAGACACGGCCCAGACUCCUACGGGAGGCAGCAGUGGGGAAUAUUGCACAAUGGGCGCAAGCCUGAUGCAGCAACGCCGCGUGCGGGAUGACGGCCUUCGGGUUGUAAACCGCUUUUAGUAGGGAAGAAGCCUUCGGGUGACGGUACCUGCAGAAAAAGGACCGGCUAACUACGUGCCAGCAGCCGCAGUAAAAC
rnacentral:rRNA from 1 species